AGUGAACGCUGGCGGUAGGCCUAACACAUGCAAGUCGAACGGCAGCACAGUAAGAGCUUGCUCUUACGGGUGGCGAGUGGCGGACGGGUGAGGAAUACAUCGGAAUCUACUUUUUCGUGGGGAUAACGUAGGGAAACUUACGCUACUACCGCAUACGACCUACGGGUGAAAGCAGGGGAUCUUCGGACCUUGCGCGAUUGAAUGAGCCGAUGUCGGAUUAGCUAGUUGGCGGGGUAAAGGCCCACCAAGGCGACGAUCCGUAGCUGGUCUGAGAGGAUGAUCAGCCACACUGGAACUGAGACACGGUCCAGACUCCUACGGGAGGCAGCAGUGGGGAAUAUUGGACAAUGGGCGCAAGCCUGAUCCAGCCAUACCGCGUGGGUGAAGAAGGCCUUCGGGUUGUAAAGCCCUUUUGUUGGGAAAGAAAAGCAGCAGGUUAAUACCCCGCUGUUCUGACGGUACCCAAAGAAUAAGCACCGGCUAACUUCGUG
rnacentral:rRNA from 1 species